rnacentral:rRNA from 1 species
UACAGGGGGUGCAAGCGUUGUUCGGAAUUACUGGGCGUAAAGGGAGCGUAGGCGGAACUACAAGACAGAGGUUAAAUCUCCGGGCUCAACCUGGAACUUGCCUUUGUGACUGUGGUUCUUGAGUAUGGUAGAGGUUGGCGGAAUUUCCGGUGUAGCGGUGGAAUGCGUAGAGAUCGGAAAGAACACCAGAGGCGAAGGCGGCCAACUGGACCAAUACUGACGCUGAGGCUCGAAAGCGUGGGGAGCAAACAGG